rnacentral:lncRNA from 1 species
UUACUCUGACUUUAUGAAGUUAUUUUCCUAUGCGUGAAGAACAAAUUUAGCUGAAGCAUGACUCUUCAGCAUGGCAAGGACAAAGAUUCCCUCGUAGGGAAGGAGUUGCAGUCCUCCUAGUUCUUGGUAUUCCCAGAAAGGAUCCUGGCGAACAUCGAAGGUGACAGC